rnacentral:rRNA from 1 species
UAAGAGGUAAUUUUUAAUUCAAAAUUAGUAUUAGUUAAGUUCUUGAAAAUUAAAGAUUUUGGCGGUAUUUUAGUCUUUUCAGAGGAACCUGUUCUAUAAUUGAUAAUCCACGAUUAAUUAAACUUUAUUUAUCAGUUUGUAUACCAUUGUAGAUAAAUAUUUUAAAAGAAUAAAUAUUUUUGUUUUUAUAAAAAUUUAAAUCAGAUCAAGGUGCAGCUUAUAUUAAAGAAGAAAUGGGUUACAAUAAAUUUAAUUUGUUGAUAAAUUAUUUAAAAUUGUUUUAAAAAUGGAUUUGAAAGUAAUUAAUUAUAUAUUUUUUUAAUGAUUAAAGCUCUAAAAUAUGC